UGGUGGAGUGAUCUGUCUGGUUAAUUCUGAUAACGAACGAGACUCUAAUCAUCUAACUAGUUGUGCAGCAUAGUUUAGCUAGUACAAUUUCCUUCUUAGAUGGAUUAACGGUUAUUAGCUGGACGAAAAAGAGCAAUAACA
rnacentral:rRNA from 1 species